GACGAACGCUGGCGGCGUGCCUAAUACAUGCAAGUCGUGCGGACCUUUUAAAAGCUUGCUUUUAAAAGGUUAGCGGCGGACGGGUGAGUAACACGUGGGCAACCUGCCUGUAAGACUGGGAUAACGCCGGGAAACCGGGGCUAAUACCGGAUAGUUUUUUCCUCCGCAUGGAGGAAAAAGGAAAGGCGGCUUCGGCUGUCACUUACAGAUGGGCCCGCGGCGCAUUAGCUAGUUGGCGGGGUAACGGCCCACCAAGGCAACGA
rnacentral:rRNA from 1 species